AGGUUGUUGAUUUGUUGAGCCAAUGUUAUGAAUUCAGUAAUACCAUAUAUAUAUUUAUCUGUAAAUAACUUUUUCUAUGGAUAUAUAGUAAGUUUAUCCAUCUACGAAUGAAAAUAAUUAGAAAACAUAUUUUGUACUUUGUUCUGAAUGAAAAGAUGUGAUAUUCAUAGAUGAAGGUAACCUAAUUUUUGAUGGAUUUCUGAAAGAUUUCCGGCGGAUUAUGAAAAAAAUAUUAUUUUGUAGAAAAUUUUAUUUUUUCAAACGGAUACAUAGUGGUUGUAGACUCUGUGGGGAAUUCUCAAUGGAUUUCGACUUAUUUGUCUUUUUAUCGGAAACUCAUCGAAAAUUGCAACAGCUAGCUAACAGAUGGUAUAUUGUUUUCUUGAGAAUUCAUAUGUAAAUUUCCGAUGGAUUUCUUUUGUCAAAUUUUGGCGAAAAAAAAUAAACAGGUUUUU
rnacentral:lncRNA from 1 species